UGCUUUAUUUUAUCGUGUUGCAGAGGUGGAGGAUGAGAAUGAGACGGGUUCAGCUGGCUGAUGAGCAAAUAAGGCACAUCAAGAUCACAGAAUCCACUCAAUCAUGGGUGGCUUCAAUUAAUUGAUUAGAUCAAUAGUUUUUUUUUUCCUCUCUCUCUUUUCCAACCAUAUUUCCUUUUUUAUUUGAAGUGUAAUAAUCUCUUGUUUUUUUUUUUUUUUUGUAAUUGGAGGUAUUUAUAAUUCACCUUUUUCUCCACCAUCUCCGAAGCUCCAACCUUUACCAUUUCUUUUCCUCUCCCUUGUUUCCCCCGUUUCUGUCGGCUUUCCUCGCACCAUCCGAUCGGGAUUUGUCGAUGUAGUUGGUAUUUGCGUGUUUCUACCUUUGAUUUGUGGGUUUAUUUGAGCGCUUGAGUCCGAUUGAAGCUUGAGAUUUUGUAAUCCAUCUAAAGGAUCUUCUUUUACUUUGCUUUUCCCUGUUAGAUUUGUUUUUUUUGGAGCUACUUCUUCUCGAUUCCUAUCGUCGGUGUUGAUUUGAGCUCUUUGAUCGUGUUCGGACUUCGAUCGGUUGUGCUCCGCUCGAUUAUCGGAAAAAGUUGAUCUCUCCGAAGAAAUUCAGAAUGGCUGGAGAAAGCUGUAACCUCGACAAAGACGAAGCGGAGAUCUUCAAGUCCUCUUCCUCUCCCUCUGCUUCUCCGCCACCGCCUCCGCCUCCAGCGUCACCGCCUUCCCCACCCCCGACUUCUGUUCUCCCAAAAUCCUGCGAGGAUUCCCCUAUCCACAGAUCGGAAUCGCCGGCCCCCAAAAAGCCAAUCGCGGCUUCUUCCACGCCGAUUCUCGACGAGGAAUCCUCCAAGCCGGGCGAGGAAUCCCAGCCACCUGUUAGAUUCAGCAACAGGUGCUCCGCCUGCCACAGAAAGGUCGGUCUCACCGGAUUCCGGUGCCGAUGCGGCGAUCUCUUUUGCGGCCGCCACCGUUACUCCGAUGCUCACGACUGCUCCUUCGAUUACAAGGCCUUUGGGAGGGAGGAGAUCGCCAGGGCCAACCCUCUGAUUAAGGCUGCCAAGAUCAUCAAGAUCUGAAGUGUAGGGUGGAAGAUAAGGUUAGUUGAAGGGUAGCAUGGAAAUGACCGGCAGUGUGGGCUCAAGCUUCUGAUGGCAUUGAUGAAGGCAGGCUUGCUAGGCCUGGAAAAACUGAUAGGACUGGAAGUGGGCUCAGGGCUAACGAGAUGGGGAUCUUUCGACUCACAAGAUUAGGUUUGAUGCCUUUUAUAUUGAUGGACCAAGUGAAUGAUUUCGAUGUAACUUUGAUCUGAUCUGCUUUUAUAUUUGGGUAUGGUGCUUAUUUUUCAUGUGAUCUGCGUUUCAUUGGCAUGUGGUGGUUUCUGGUCGGGGAGAGCAUAUCCUCUGACUCACAAUUUCUCUAUAUCCUUUUCGCCAUUUGGAGGUUAUAGUAUGGAUCGAGUCAGACAGUCGGAGACUUUCGGUGGUUGGAUGGAUUGUAUGGCGUCGACAAGUGGGCGGUCCACACAUCGUCGAUGGUCGUUUGGUUCGAUCCAAACUAUAGCAUAAGUGGAAAGGUAAAUCCAGGAAAGAUCGUAGUUCAUUUUAGAUGGAUUUUGAUCACGAUUCAACGUGCAAAUGAUGAAAUGGGUUAGGAGGGGAUCAGGUAG